CUAUGCAUUUACUGCAACCUCAGGACAAGAUUGACCUCGGAAAGGCUUUGGGAACACUUUAGAAAACAUCUCUUCCUCCCACUGAAAGGUUCACAACUAUUGUUUUCCUCUUCUGACUCAUCUUUGAAUCAGUAAAUUAAAUAUGUAUAACUUGUGAAGAUUUCAUUUUUAUUAAGGCAAGGUGCUUUGCUGAGCAAUGUCAAGAUUUAGAAGUGUACAGCUCUCCUUUUCUCCCUUCUCAAUGAUUUUAUUUCCUGUAGUUUGUAGGAGGACUUUCAGAGAGCUGUUCUCUUUAUCCUUCUCUGUGGCUCUGGCUCUUUUCUGUAUCAUAGAGAAGUUAAAAAGAGUUGAUUAUCAUCUACUCUCCUAGGGUGGUCAAGACUUGAGGAUUCAGAGGCUGUUUCUCAAUUUAAGUCUCUAAGAAUAUGCCCUUCAGCCUUCUUACCUUGACUUCUGGAACUUUAUUGGUGAAAAAAAACUACGGCAUGACUCUGACAAUCCUUUGAAGUCAUGAAUAUACAAGAGCAUGAAUAAGAGAAGAAAAGAUGGAAGAUAAAAAGCAGAAGGAUGCAGAGCAUAUCAAUAGCUGGGACCUGAAUUAGCACCAUAUGGAGCAGAGUUCUCUUCCAGCUAACCAAGGGCACUUCAUCACCAAAGCAACAAGAUGUGGAGCAUGAGCAGUUCAACCUUUGAAGAUAACUCAGACUAAUUUGGCCAGCCUCUCCGUCUGAGGGUCUGAGAUCAUAAGAAGGAAUUUGAAAUACCAGAGUAGCUUAACAAAGACUCUGAGAAGUCCUGCAAUAAGGAAGUAUCAUUAACUUUGUUGAACAUUUUUUACCAUUGACUCCAUGAUAUAGUUUGAAUAUUUGUCCCCACUCAAAUCCCAUGUUGAAUUGUAAUCCCCCAUUUUGGGAGUGGGGCCUGGUGGGAGGUGUUUGGGUCAUGGGGGCAGACACCUCAUGGCUUGGCACUGUACUUGCAACAGUGAGUGAGUUCUCAUGAGAUCUGGUUAACUGUUUGGCACCUCCUCCCUCCUCACUCCUACAAGAGAUGUGAAGGAGUGCCAUGUGAUGUGCAAGCUCCUACUUCGCCUUCUACCAUGAGUAAAAGCUCCCCGAGGCCUCCACAGAAAAUGAGCAGAUGCCCUUGUUAUGCUAGUACAGCCCACAGAACUGUGAGCCAAUUAAACUUCUCUUCUUUUUAAAUUACCCGGUCUCUGCUGUUUCCCUAUAAUAAUGCAAGAAUGGCCUAAUACACUCCCUUAUCUGCAUACCGUGUAUCUCCAUUUUAUAGAAGGAUGCUUUGUGACGUAUGCUAUAAGAAAUACUGCUCUAAAGAGUUUUUGUAGAUGAGAUGGCUAAAGUAUCACAGAAAUGGUAUUGUGAACAACCAUUCUGAAAUGGAUGGGCCUUGGAAAUAAUGAUCUAAAAAUUCAGAAACUAAAAUAUUUGUCCCAUGAAAUACUCUCUAAAUGAGUUCCAUGUCCAUGUAAAUUUAGGCAACAUUGCACAUUAUAUCCAUUUUCUUAGAGAGUAAACAUGCUGGAAAAAAAAACAGCGUUACUUUAUCUAAUUAAAUUUUAGAAGGUUUAUUUGAAUAUCAAAAUUCAUUUCCCCCCAGGAGUAAUGAUAAAUACUAGGGGAGCUAGUGUGAAAAGUGCUUUGGAAAAAUAUGAUGUGGUAGCAAGAAGAGAUUUAAGAUUCCAACCAAUUCAGAUUUAAUUUUUGGCUCUGCUACUUGCCAGAUGAGAUUUAUUUAUGUGGGAGUUUCUGAAGAUUCCCAUGGUAAAUAGUAUUCCUCUUCCCUGCUUAGGUUUUGAAGAAGUUGAAUAAAUAAUUAAAUGUAAAUGUUGAUAGCAUAAGAUGACCUUUAUCGCUAACAGAGGUCAGGUUUUAGGACAUAGCUAAAAGUCUGCUAAUGCUGGUGGACUUGCUCACACAGAAAGAACAC
rnacentral:lncRNA from 1 species